rnacentral:lncRNA from 1 species
UUUAGUCAAGUCUACAAUAUUUAUGAGUUUUCAAGUUUCUAGGUUUUCACUAAACCUUUUGUAUGUAACCUUUUGUAUGUCUUGCUUAUUAUAUAAAUGCCAUUUGAUCAAUGAAAUAAAAUAAGUUUUGAGUGAUUAUUUUUGGAACUUUGAGAGUAAUUCUCAUUUCCUUUCACUGAUGUGGAGUUAGGAUAAAGUUAAUAUUUGCUUCAUGCGCUCAGAUCUUUGUGCUGCUAUAGCGAACAUGUUUUUUUUUUGCGUUGAGAAAACUCUGAUUUAGCUUUUAAGUGUUAAGACAAGUCUUGUUUCAACAUCUAAGAAUCUGGUUUACAAUCCAAACAAUAUAACACACACACACGUUUCUUCUUGAACUGAAGCUUUAGUUUCACGUUUUAUAACCCAC